UUGUAGGAUAUUUGGCACUUCCUCAGCCGGAUAAAAAGGGCCUCUCCACGUCGCUAGGUAUACUGGCAGACAUCUUUGUUUCCAUGAGCAAGAACGAUUAUGAAAAGUUUAAAAACAAUCCACAAAUUAAUUUGGUAAUUAUCAUAACACUGAGUGGCAUCACCUGUAAAAUUGUCAAUCGUGUCCUUGGUGGUUGGUUAGUGGCUGUCUUUCUCAGGAGAUUGGGAGGCAGGGAGCUCAGUGCUGCGCCUCCUAGACAAAUGGGAAGAAUCCUGGGGAGGAGUCUUGUGGGGUCCUAUUUGGCUUUAUUAUCCCAGCGCCUAGCACUGUAACAGACACUCAGAGAGUGCUCAGAAAGUUACUGGUGAAUGAAUGAAUGAAUAUCAACAAAAUGAUUUUGAGCCUCACUUCUUUCCUUUCAAAGUAUAACAAAAUGCAGUUUCCAAACUUGGGCCAUCUUGAUGAUAAAGGGGUAAUAAUUUUAAAACUUUGUAAUCACCAUCUGUUCAAAUCAGAGCAUCAGUCCCUUGUUCCAGGCUCUCGUCCGUGAUAAUAAUGACUGCUAAUUUUUAUAUAUCAC
rnacentral:sRNA from 1 species